UGGUCAUGGUUAGUGCCAUUAAAUUGUACACUUAAAAAUUAAUAAAAUGGUAUAUUUUGUUAUAUAUAUUUUAUCACAGGGGAAAGUUACUUCCCAGAUAGACUUUUGUGUGUGUGUGAGUGUGUGUGUGUGUGUGUGUGUGUGUGUGUUGCUGGCGAUUGAACUCAGAGCCUUAUACAUGCAAGGCAAGCACUUUACCAA
rnacentral:sRNA from 1 species